rnacentral:misc_RNA from 1 species
GUUGAAGAACGCAGCGAAAUGCGAUAAGUAAUGUGAAUUGCAGGAUUCAGUGAAUCAUCGAAUCUUUGAACGCACAUUGCGCCCGCCAGUAUUCUGGCGGGCAUGCCUGUUCGAGCGUCAUUUCAACCAUCAAGCCCCCGGCUUGUGUUGGGGACCUGCGGCUGCCGCAGGCCCUGAAAACCAGUGGCGGGCUCGCUGUCACACCGAGCGUAGUAGAUUUUCAUCUCGCUCAGGGCGUGCUGCGGGUUCCGGCCGUAAAAAGCCUUAUUUACCCAAGGUUGACCUCGGAUCAGGUAGGAAGACCCGCUGAACUUAAGCAUAUCAAUAAGCGGAGGA